rnacentral:rRNA from 1 species
GUGUCAGCCGCCGCGGUAAUACGUAGGGGGCGAGCGUUGUCCGGAAUCAUUGGGCGUAAAGCGCGUGUAGGCGGCUUGCCAAGUCCGGUGUGAAAACUGAGGGCUCAACCCUCAGCCUGCACUGGAAACUGGCUUGCUAGAGUCCGGAAGAGGGGACUGGAAUUCCUGGUGUAGCGGUGAAAUGCGCAGAUAUCAGGAAGAACACCCGUGGCGAAGGCGGGUCCCUGGGACGGUACUGACGCUGAGACGCGAAAGCGUGGGGAGCAAACAGGAUUAGAUACCCUGGUAGUCCACGCCGUAAACGAUGGGCACUAGGUGUGGGAGGUGUCGACUCCUCCCGUGCCGUAGCUAACGCAUUAAGUGCCCCGCCUGGGGAGUACGGCCGCAAGGCUAAAACUCAAAUGAAUUGACGGGG